AUUGAACGCUGGCGGCAGGCCUAACACAUGCAAGUCGAGCGGAUGAAGAGAGCUUGCUCUCUGAUUUAGCGGCGGACGGGUGAGUAAUGCCUAGGAAUCUGCCUGGUAGUGGGGGAUAACGUCCGGAAACGGGCGCUAAUACCGCAUACGUUCUACGGGAGAAAGCAGGGGACCUUCGGGCCUUGCGCUAUCAGAGGAGCCUAGGUCGGAUUAGCUAGUUGGUGAGGUAAUGGCUCACCAAGGCUACGAUCCGUAACUGGUCUGAGAGGAUGAUCAGUCACACUGGAACUGAGACACGGUCCAGACUCCUACGGGAGGCAGCAGUGGGGAAUAUUGGACAAUGGGCGAAAGCCUGAUCCAGCCAUGCCGCGUGUGUGAAGAAGGUCUUCGGAUUGUAAAGCACUUUAAGUUGGGAGGAAGGGCAGUAAGUUAAUACCUUGCUGUUUUGACGUUACCGACAGAAUAAGCACCGGCUAACUUCGUGCCAGCCGCCGCGGUAACAC
rnacentral:rRNA from 1 species